GGCGGCUACUUGCGAAAACAUUGGGAACUGGAGAUCGCAGCUAAGAUGAGUCUUAAAUUUUAUAUUAUUUUAGCAAUGGUUCUGGCUACAUUUGUCAUGAAAGUCACUGCCAAACGAAUGUCUGACUACAAAUGGUGUACCGUGGCAAUAAAUGGGGUGUGUGCCUAGUUACUCUUCAUAUUGUACAGUUUAAUUUUACCAAUAAAGAGAUUUUAUUGAUGCAGCAAUCUAUUGUUAAUAGAUUUAAGGAACUAUUUCAAAUAAUUUGAGCUCCCAGCUGAGCACUGAGAUACACUACAUCAUACAAUGCAGCCGGAACUCACUUGCAUCCAUACAUAUCCAUGCAAUCCCAGGCACACCUAGAGCUAACGCUUGGAGGAAAAGCCAGGGGUCGAUGCAAUAUUAAUCAUGAAUCGUUCGGCUGUGCCAAUGAAAACAUCAAUGGAACGCCAAGACCUCAGUAGUGGUACACUGCUCCUGACCAUGUUCCGAAUCCGUACCAGUUGCAGUAGGUCCUGGUAGCACCUGAUGUCAAGAUAACCGUUUUGGUAGUGAAAAACCCAACGAAUCGGUGACCAUCUACGACACGAGUACCUUAUUGGUUGUCCUGGGUUAUGUCUGUGUUUUUUGUCUGCAGCCCAGGAGUUUGAGUAUAAAUUCUUCUAGAACUAAUGUGACAUCAAAUGUUAAUUGGCAGACU